rnacentral:rRNA from 1 species
GUGGGGAAUAUUGGACAAUGGGGGGAACCCUGAUCCAGCCAUGCCGCGUGUGUGAAGAAGGCCUUUUGGUUGUAAAGCACUUUAAGCGAGGAGGAGGCUACCGAGAGUAAUACUCUUGGAUAGUGGACGUUACUCGCAGAAUAAGCACCGGCUAACUCUGUGCCAGCAGCCGCGGUAAUACAGAGGGUGCAAGCGUUAAUCGGAUUUACUGGGCGUAAAGCGCGCGUAGGUGGCCAAUUAAGUCAAAUGUGAAAUCCCCGAGCUUAACUUGGGAAUUGCAUUCGAUACUGGUUGGCUAGAGUAUGGGAGAGGAUGGUAGAAUUCCAGGUGUAGCGGUGAAAUGCGUAGAGAUCUGGAGGAAUACCGAUGGCGAAGGCAGCCAUCUGGCCUAAUACUGACACUGAGGUGCGAAAGCAUGGGGAGCAAACAGGAUUAGAUACCCGUGUAGUCC